rnacentral:rRNA from 1 species
CCUACGGGAGGCAGCAGUGGGGAAUAUUGCACAAUGGGGGAAACCCUGAUGCAGCGACGCCGCGUGAGUGAAGAAGUAAUUCGUUAUGUAAAGCUCUAUCAGCAGGGAAGAAAAUGACGGUACCUGAGUAAGAAGCCCCGGCUAACUACGUGCCAGCAGCCGCGGUAAUACGGAGGGGGCAAGCGUUAUCCGGAUUUACUGGGUGUAAAGGGAGCGUAGACGGCAGUGCAAGUCUGGAGUGAAAGGCGGGGGCUCAACCCCCGGACUGCUCUGGAAACUGUACGGCUGGAGUGCAGGAGAGGUAAGUGGAAUGCCUGGUGUAGCGGUGAAAUGCGGAGAUAUUAGGAGGAACACCAGUGGCGAAGGCGGCUUACUGGACUGUAACUGACGUUGAGGCUCGAAAGCGUGGGGAGCAAACAGGAUUAGAUACCCGGGUAGUC